UAACCAUGAUGAGGAGAAGCAUUUAAAAGAUCUUUGAACCUUUCCCAGCUCUGAUAAAAAGUUUCAGGAUCUUUUUGAGUGAAGUUCAUGAUUUGUCUUUUAAGUGC